rfam:Triticum aestivum genome assembly, contig: Triticum_aestivum_CS42_TGACv1_scaffold_221961_3B
UUACUACUCCCUCCGUCCGGAAAUACUUGUCGGAGGAAUGGAUGUAUCUAGAUGUAUUUUAGUUCUAGAUACAUUCAUUUUUACGCAUUUUUCCGACAAGUAUUUCGGGACGGAGGGAGUACAAU